GCGAGGCAAUACGCAGGGAACUGAAACAUCUCAGUACCUGCAGGAGAAGAAAGUAAAAACGAUUCCGUAAGUAGUGGCGAGCGAAAGCGGAGGAGCCCAAACCAUCAGAUGAUGGGGUUAUAGGGCUGCCGAGAAAGUCGAUGCGACAUGACAGGAGAAGCGCAGGGGAAGGCGCAGCGAAGAGGGUGAAACUCCCGUAUCCGAAGUCGUGAAGCAGGGCGAGGCAGACCCUGAGUACGUCGGGGCACGAGGAAUCCUGACGGAAGGAUCGAGGACCAUCUCGAAAGGCUAAAUACUCCCUGGUGAGCGAUAGUGAACCAGUACCGUGAGGGAAAGGUGAAAAGAACCCCGGGAGGGGAGUGAAAUAGAACCUGAAACCAUAUGCUUACAAGAAGUCAGAGCCCGUUAAAGGGUGAUGGCGUGCCUUUUGUAGAAUGAGCCGGCGAGUUAUGAUAUGGAGCGAGGUUAAGCAGGAGAUGCGGAGCCGAAGCGAAAGCGAGUCUUAAGAGGGCGAAAGUUGCAUGUCAUAGACCCGAAACCGGGUGAUCUAGCCAUGAUCAGGUUGAAGUCGGGGUAAGACCCGAUGGAGGACCGAACCGACCCCCGUUGAAACGUUGGCGGAUGAAUUGUGGCUAGGGGUGAAAUUCCAAACGAACCCGGAGAUAGCUGGUUCUCCCCGAAAUAGCUUUAGGGCUAGCGUCGCAGGAAGUGCCAUGAAGGUAGAGCACUGAAUAUGUGAUGGCCUCAUCCCGAGGUACUGAGCAUAAUCAAACUCCGAAUGUCAUGGAGACGAUGAGCGGCAGUCAGACCAUGGGUGAUAAGGUCCAUGGUCAAGAGGGAAACAGCCCAGACCAUCAGCUAAGGUCCCCAAAUACAUGCUAAGUGGAAAAGGAUGUGGAGAUGUACAGACAACCAGGAGGUUGGCUCAGAAGCAGCCAUCCUUCAAAGAGUGCGUAACAGCUCACUGGUCGAAUGACUCUGCGCCGAAAAUUUACCGGGGCUAAGCAUGAUACCGAAGCUAUGGAUUUACGAAAGUAAGUGGUAGGGGAGCGUUCCAGACAGCGAGGAAGGAUGAUCGAAAGGACAUCUGGAGCGUGUGGAAGAGAGAAUGCCGGUGUGAGUAGCGGCACGUGGGUGAGAAUCCCACGCACCGAAGACCCAAGGUUUCCAGAGGAAGGUUCGUCCGCUCUGGGUAAGUCGGGACCUAAGGCGAGGCCGAGAGGCGUAGCCGAUGGACAACGGGUAGAGAUUCCCGUACCUGGCUGUGGGUGAAGGAGUGACGGAGACGGCUAGGCCAACCAGCGGCUGGAAGAGCUGGAGCAAGCGAGGUAGGGGUCAUCCAGGCAAAUCCGGAUGGCAUAACCCGAAGGCGUGACGCGGAUGGAACAUUGCGAUAAGUACAGAAGAGGCCAAAGCCGGCUUCCAAGAAAAGCUUCUAGCAAAACUGCAGACAGCCCGUACCGAAAAUGGACACACAUGGGUGAGGAGAGAAUCCUAAGGUGAGCGAGAGAACUAUAGCUAAGGAACUCUGCAAAAUGACUCCGUAACUUAGGGAGAAGGAGUGCUCAGUGGAAGCUGAGCCGCAGUGAAACGGCCCAAGCGACUG
rnacentral:rRNA from 1 species